rnacentral:lncRNA from 1 species
UAAAGGUAUUAGAAGAGAGUUAUUUGUAUGGAAAAAGGACCCUUUUAUAGAGCUCUAAGAGACUGCCCAUUUACUUAGAGUAGUUACAUGCACCACCGAUAGUUAUAAGUUACUUGCGCACCACUAAUCUGGAUGGCUACUAUUACAAGCCUACAUCCCUUCAACGGCUAGUUACCAUUGGAUGUCCCACCCAUGUCAUGUUCAUAAAAAGAUAUCGAGCCUCUACCUGUUCUUAGACGAGGAGCACCGCAUGCACUAAUGUGAAGUGCAGAUUGCGCCAUCAUACGCCCUUGCCGUGUGCAUAAGCAUGCACGCUCAUGUCAGCAUGAGCUUGAGCAUCACACGCUUCGCACGCUCUGCACAUGCACCAUCACCCUCACUUUUGUACUAAUAGUACGAAUCAUGAGAAUUCCUACACUUAAAUACCACUCAAUCUAUACUCUCUUCUUCAAUGUAGGAUUAAAAACACACACCUUUCUCUCUCUCUACAAAAUAUAGUUUAGAAAAACCACACAAACCCAUAUUGUUAUUUUGAACAAGUAUUUUUUAAAAACAAAAUGCUAACAUUUUCCUUUACUAGUUCUCAAUUACAAGGAAAACAUAGGAAACAUAUUAUUUGCGUACCAUGAAUGAAUAUUUCAAUUUGAACAUUCACUUAGAUAGUACAUUACAAAGUCUAUGGAGUACCGUGGUAUCAUAUAGCUUUGAACCAAGUUGCUUAUCUAUAGAUCAAUAGUAUAACUCGCAACCAAUAUUGAACUUUGACGUCUUUUAGCUGCCAGUACAUUUUGGGAAUUGUCUUAUAUCCCAAUGUCAUAAGUACUUUAAAGACAAGUCUCAUCUCAUAGGAAGCGGCCUCACUUCCACAUUUAAAGAGAAAGUACCUAAAUUUUUGGAGAGAAACUAUCUCAAAAAUUGUAGAGAAAUUAUCUUAAAU